rnacentral:rRNA from 1 species
AAUAUUGGACAAUGGGCGAAAGCCUGAUCCAGCCAUGCCGCGUGUGUGAAGAAGGUCUUCGGAUUGUAAAGCACUUUAAGUUGGGAGGAAGGGCAGUAAGUUAAUACCUUGCUGUUUUUAAGUUACCGACAGAAUAAGCACCGGCUAACUUCGUGCCAGACGCCGCGGUAAUACCAAGGGUGAAAGCGUUAAUCGGAAUGACUGUGCGUAAAGCGCGCGUAGGUGGUUUGUUAAGUUGGAAGUGAAAUCCCCGGGCUUAACCUGGGAACUGCUUUCAUAACUGCUGAGCUAGAGUACGGUAGAGGGUAGUGGAAUUUCCUGUGUAGCGGUGAAAUGCGUAGAUAUAGGAAGGAACACCAGUGGCGAAGACGACUACCUGGACUGAUACUGACACUGAGAUGCGAAAGCGUGGGGAGCAAAC